AUCCUAGUGCACGGGCAUUUAGCGUAUCAGUGAGGAGUUAUCCGAGAUCGCUAUUUUGCUAGUUGAAAACUACAACUAAUGACCGCUCUUGUUGGCCUUCGGGUCGGCAAGGAAUAUUUGGAAACAAAGUUACUGG
rnacentral:snRNA from 1 species